rnacentral:rRNA from 1 species
UGAGGAAUAUUGGUCAAUGGGCGGAAGCCUGAACCAGCCAUGCCGCGUGCAGGACGACGGCCCUACGGGUUGUAAACUGCUUUUCCGGGGGAAGAAUAACCCCCCUGCGGGGGGGGAUGCCGGUACCCCGGGAAUAAGGAUCGGCUAACUCCGUGCCAGCAGCCGCGGUAAUACGGAGGAUCCUAGCGUUAUCCGGAUUUACUGGGUUUAAAGGGUGCGUAGGCGGACCCCUAAGUCCGCGGUGAAAGUCUGCGGCUCAACCGUAGGAUUGCCGUGGAUACUGGGGGUCUUGGAUUCGGUCGGGGCGGGCGGAAUGCGUGGUGUAGCGGUGAAAUGCAUAGAUAUCACGCAGAACGCCGAUAGCGAAGGCAGCUCGCCGGGCCGAUAUUGACGCUGAGGCACGAAAGCGUGGGGAUCGAACAG